UGAAGAGUUUGAUCAUGGCUCAGAUUGAACGCUGGCGGCAGGCCUAACACAUGCAAGUCGAACGGUAACAGGAAGCAGCUUGCUGCUUUGCUGACGAGUGGCGGACGGGUGAGUAAUGUCUGGGAAACUGCCUGAUGGAGGGGGAUAACUACUGGAAACGGUGGCUAAUACCGCAUAACGUCGCAAGACCAAAGAGGGGGACCUUCGGGCCUCUUGCCAUCAGAUGUGCCCAGAUGGGAUUAGCUUGUUGGUGAGGUAACGGCUCACCAAGGCGACGAUCCCUAGCUGGUCUGAGAGGAUGACCAGCCACACUGGAACUGAGACACGGUCCAGACUCCUACGGGAGGCAGCAGUGGGGAAUAUUGCACAAUGGGCGCAAGCCUGAUGCAGCCAUGCCGCGUGUAUGAAGAAGGCCUUCGGGUUGUAAAGUACUUUCAGCGGGGAGGAAGGUGUUGUGGUUAAUAACCGCAGCAAUUGACGUUACCCGCAGAAGAAGCACCGGCUAACUCCGUGCCAGCAGCCGCGGUAAUACGGAGGGUGCAAGCGUUAAUCGGAAUUACUGGGCGUAAAGCGCACGCAGGCGGUCUGUCAAGUCGGAUGUGAAAUCCCCGGGCUCAACCUGGGAACUGCAUUCGAAACUGGCAGGCUUGAGUCUUGUAGAGGGGGGUAGAAUUCCAGGUGUAGCGGUGAAAUGCGUAGAGAUCUGGAGGAAUACCGGUGGCGAAGGCGGCCCCCUGGACAAAGACUGACGCUCAGGUGCGAAAGCGUGGGGAGCAAACAGGAUUAGAUACCCUGGUAGUCCACGCCGUAAACGAUGUCUACUUGGAGGUUGUGCCCUUGAGGCGUGGCUUCCGGAGCUAACGCGUUAAGUAGACCGCCUGGGGAGUACGGCCGCAAGGUUAAAACUCAAAUGAAUUGACGGGGGCCCGCACAAGCGGUGGAGCAUGUGGUUUAAUUCGAUGCAACGCGAAGAACCUUACCUGGUCUUGACAUCCACAGAACUUUCCAGAGAUGGAUUGGUGCCUUCGGGAACUGUGAGACAGGUGCUGCAUGGCUGUCGUCAGCUCGUGUUGUGAAAUGUUGGGUUAAGUCCCGCAACGAGCGCAACCCUUAUCCUUUGUUGCCAGC
rnacentral:rRNA from 1 species